rnacentral:rRNA from 1 species
GACGAACGCUGGCGGCGUGCUUGACACAUGCAAGUCGAACGGAAAGGCCUGCUUUCCCUUGUGGAUUGCGGGUACUCGAGUGGCGAACGGGUGAGUAACACGUGAGUGAUCUGCCCCCAACUUGGGUAUAAGCCUGGGAAACUGGGUCUAAUUCCCGAUAGGACUGCAGGGUGGUGCCUGUAGUGGGAAACGAUUUUCUAGUGGUUGGGGAUGAGCUCGCGGCCUAUCAGCUUGUUGGUGGGGUAAUGGCCUACCAAGGCGGCGACGGGUAGCCGGCCUGGGAGGGUGGACGGGCACAGUGGGACUGGGCUACGGCCCAGACUGGUACGGGAGGCAGCAGUGGGGAAGAUUGCACAAUGGGCGGAAGGCUGAUGCAGCGACGCCGCGUGGGGGAUGACGGCCUUCGGGUUGUAAACUCCUUUCGACCGCGAGGAAGCCACCUGGUUGGAAGGGUGGUGACGGUAGUGGUAGAAGAAGCACCGGCUAACUACGUG